rnacentral:rRNA from 1 species
AUGGAAGGAACGCUGUCGGGAUCGAGCACCAAAACAACUGAUCUGGAGGCGAUGAUGGAGGAGCUGGGUCUGAAGGAAGAGGAUCUCCAAGAUGUAGUAGUGGAAGAUGAGGAAAUCCCGGAAGAGGCCACCAGAUGGAUGGCGAUCGCCAGAGUCCACACGGAGAGAACCUACAGUCAGUAUUGGUUUUUCAGGAACAUGCGCUCUGCAUGGGAUCUGGCGAAGGACGUGAAAAUCAUACCAUUGGAAGAUAACCUCUACACCUUGCAGUUCGGUUGCCUGGGCGACUGGGAACGGGUGAUGGAGGAAGGACCUUGGACGUUCAAAGGGAAGGCGGUGGUACUGUCGCUUUACGACGGGAUCACAAAGCCCUCCUCGAUAGAGUUAAACAAAAUUGAUAUUUGGAUGCAGAUUCAUGAUCUUCCGGAUGGCUUCUACCCUAAGAUUAAAGCCUUAUCUGCAACAGUGGGAGAGUUCAUCUAUGCGGAGCCCAAGUCGCAUGAUUUUGAAGGUAACUUUGCAAGGGUCAGAGUUAGAAUUGAUGUUACAAAACCUCUCAAGAACGCAGUUUCGCUGGUGAUAAAGAAGAAAGACACAGUCCAAAGGGUCAUCUUUAGGGUGAAGUAUGAGCGUCUCCCGGACUGGUGUGCUGUUUGUGGAUACCUUGGGCAUCUUUUCAAGGAAUGUGGAGACGGAGUUCAUCCUCCUAAGGCGCUAGUCUUCAAAGAUUUAAAAGCAACUUGGUCAAGAGGACCUGGGAGAGGUCCGGGAGAAGGAAGAGGAGCAGCUGACAGUUCAGGAGGACGGGGAGGGCGCGACCGAGGCCGGUCUGGCAGAGGCCGGGGCCGGGGCCCGCCCCAACCUAACGCUGCUGAUGGAUACAAUGACUUGGGCACCGAUGGUCAUGACAGUGAUGUGGCUAUGAGCGAUGGAGAAAACAACAAGAAAAGAGGGGUCGCUGCAGCUGAACCAGUCCUUGGUGUGACGGGAAACACAAGCAAGCAGUUGCUGUUGCCUCCCCCGGAGAUACCAACGAGCCCCUCAACGGUGCAAGAACCAAAGAGGAACAAGCUGAGUUCUGCAAAUUCAGAGAAAAAUACUGGGAAGAACACCUUGAUCAACAAAAACCUUGAUGCGCGUUUGGCGGGCCUCCAAGGGGGGUCUCGCCAUGCGCAAUGA